GUGUUCGCUUUGGCAGCACAUAUAUUAAAAAUUGGAAUGAUACAGAGAAAAUUAGCACAGCUCCUGCGCAAAGAUGACACGCAAAUUCAUGAAGCAUUUUAUAUUUAA
rnacentral:snRNA from 1 species